rnacentral:rRNA from 1 species
ACAGGGAUUGCCCUAGUAACGGCGAGUGAAGCGGCAACAGCUCAAAUUUGAAAGCUAGCCUUCGGGUUCGCAUUGUAAUUUGUAGAGGAUGAUUUGGGGAAGCCGCCUGUCUAAGUUCCUUGGAACAGGACGUCAUAGAGGGUGAGAAUCCCGUAUGUGACAGGAAAUGGCACCCUAUGUAAAUCUCCUUCGACGAGUCGAGUUGUUUGGGAAUGCAGCUCUAAAUGGGAGGUAAAUUUCUUCUAAAGCUAAAUAUUGGCGAGAGACCGAUAGCGCACAAGUAGAGUGAUCGAAAGAUGAAAAGCACUUUGGAAAGAGAGUUAAAAAGCACGUGAAAUUGUUGAAAGGGAAGCGCUUGCAAUCAGACUUGUUUAAACUGUUCGGCCGGUCUUCUGACCGGUUUACUCAGUUUGGACAGGCCAGCAUCAGUUUCGGCGGCCGGAUAAAGGCUCUGGGAAUGUGGCCUCCACUUCGGUGGAGGUGUUAUAGCCCAGGGUGUAAUACGGCCAGCCGGGACUGAGGUCCGCGCUUCGGCUAGGAUGCUGGCGUAAUGGUUGUAAGCGACCCGUCUUGAAACACGGACC